rnacentral:rRNA from 1 species
AAAUUGAAGAGUUUGAUCAUGGCUCAGAUUGAACGCUGGCGGCAGGCCUAACACAUGCAAGUCGAACGGUAACAGGAAGCAGCUUGCUGUUUCGCUGACGAGUGGCGGACGGGUGAGUAAUGUCUGGGAAACUGCCUGAUGGAGGGGGAUAACUACUGGAAACGGUAGCUAAUACCGCAUAACGUCGCAAGACCAAAGAGGGGGACCUUCGGGCCUCUUGCCAUCGGAUGUGCCCAGAUGGGAUUAGCUAGUAGGUGGGGUAACGGCUCACCUAGGCGACGAUCCCUAGCUGGUCUGAGAGGAUGACCAGCCACACUGGAACUGAGACACGGUCCAGACUCCUACGGGAGGCAGCAGUGGGGAAUAUUGCACAAUGGGCGCAAGCCUGAUGCAGCCAUGCCGCGUGUAUGAAGAAGGCCUUCGGGUUGUAAAGUACUUUCAGCGGGGAGGAAGGGAGUAAAGUUAAUACCUUUACUCAUUGACGUUACCCGCAGAAGAAGCACCGGCUAACUCCGUGCCAGCAGCCGCGGUAAUACGGAGGGUGCAAGCGUUAAUCGGAAUUACUGGGCGUAAAGCGCACGCAGGCGGUUUGUUAAGUCAGAUGUGAAAUCCCCGGGCUCAACCUGGGAACUGCAUCUGAUACUGGCAAGCUUGAGUCUCGUAGAG